rnacentral:rRNA from 1 species
AUGGGAACGCGAAGAACCUUACCUAGACUUGACAUCUCCUGAAUAGUGUAGAGAUACAUGAAGCCCUUCGGGGCAGGAAGACAGGUGGUGCAUGGUUGUCGUUAGCUCGUGUCGUGAGAUGUUGGGUUAAGUCCCGCAACGAGCGCAACCCUUAUUACUAGUUGCUACCAUUAAGUUGAGCACUCUAGUGAGACUGCCCGGGUUAACCGGGAGGAAGGCGGGGAUGACGUCAAAUCAUCAUGCCCCUUAUGUCUAGGGCUACACACGUGCUACAAUGGUGGGAACAAAGAGAUGCAAUACCGCAAGGUGGAGCUAAACUCAAAACCCCAUCCCAGUUCGGAUUGUAGGCUGAAACUCGCCUACAUGAAGUUGGAGUUGCUAGUAAUCGCGAAUCAGAAUGUCGCGGUGAAUACGUUCCCGGGUCUUGUACACACCG